CAAGUGAGGCUGAUCUUGUAAUAUAUUUUUCACAGAUCCUUCAAAUGUGGUUGUGGGAGUUGUUGUGGUGAUUGUCGUUUUUGUACUAGUUGCUGUUUUAUAUGUUUCAAGGAAACAUCUCGGGUGUCCAACACAGUGUUUCUGUGGAGAUUCUGCUCUUAGACACUGUUUGUCUGGCGGUUGCUCAAGUGGACCAGGGGGACACGUGGACUGUAAGGAACAAAUAUCACCAUCUUCUGGGACCCCAGAAACCACUGCGGCACUCUUGGACCUUAAUCCUCUUGAUUCUGAAAGGCCUCCUAAUCAGGCUUCAGCUGAGUCCUGAACAACACCUGGGUUCCUGCUAUCACACCCUCUCGUGUCCUUUUUCCUUCCCCCACCUUAUUUUGUCACUUUCCUGUCAUUCUCCUUUGGGCCAUCUGUUUAAGAAGAGUUUGGCUUAGCUGGCCAAGACGGCAUUUGUUGUUGUUGUUGCAACACAGCUGUGAGCCCAUGACCAGCAGCAGCUAAAAGCAAUGCCCUCUACAGCCCAGUGCUGGUACACAUUUGCCAAGUUUUGGGGUGCCUAAUGAGGGCAGUGCUUGUUUCUCCAGCAGCAAGAUUGUGAGUAAAGGUAUGUCUGCACAGUUAGACCCAGUAAUUGCCAGCCAGGUUAGCUGAGCCCAGUUGCAAGCCUCCCCACAGCAAAGCCCUACUCAUGUGAUUGUGUCCUUACUGUUUCUGCAUUUGUCUGUGCAUGUCUGGGGGCAUAGUCCAUGGUUCUUGGUGCUGAGACGCUCUAGGACUCUUUCCUGAGCAACCGUGUCAAUCGUGGGAGAACUUGUGUGUCUUUUAGGGGGAGUUGUGGAAAGGCAUUGGAGGACUGCCAGCACUGAAGUGAUUUUAGCCUGGGUCCUCACUGCAAAGUGUGUGGGUUCCAGCCUGAGUGACACAGAAGACUGGGUUCUAAUUAUGGUUGCCAAGUUUGGUUGGACAAAUUCCUGGAGAUUUCAUCACAUGACAUAAUCUUUAUUGAAAGAUUAAUCUUUAAUUCCUGGAGACUCCAGGACAACCCUGGAGGGUUGGUACCCCUAGUUCUAAUUCACCCCACCCAGCCAGGUCAGCUAGCGUGGGCUUAAAGUACCUCCAAGCCUGGAUCAGAGAUUUUUCUUUGUGGAUGGUAGGGGAUUUAGGCUAAAGCCCAUGAAGAGCUCAGGUUUCUGUAAGGCAGGGGUUCUUAAACUGGGGGUCAUGAGGUUAUUAUGCGGGGGGGGGGGUCACAAGCUGUCAGCCUCCACCCCAAACACUGCUUUGCCUCCAGCGUUUAUAAUAAUGUUAAAUGUUAAAAAAUGUGUUUUUAAUUUAUAAGAGGGGUUGCACUCAGAGACUUGCUCUAUGAAAGGGGUCGUCAAUACAUAAGUUGGACAACCACUGCUAUAAAGUGAAGAGAUCCCUAAGGUCAGGUCUAGCCUAAAAACCUUUGAUGAAGAUGCUCUAAACCAAUAUAGAGAGCUCUCCUGUCAGCUUAGUGAGGGCUGGUCUACGCUACAGAGUUAGGUCAAUGUAGGGCACCGACGUAAGGCACCCACCAAUGUAAGUCGUCCACUACAUUGACUUAACUCCAUCUUCACAAGAGGCAUAGUUCUUUGGUCAGUGUAAUUAGGGCCCAGUGUCCAUGUAGACAGUGUGUUACUUACAUGGCCUGUUAGCAGCCUGGUGGCUGGCAGUGCCCCACAAUGUCCCACUUAAGUUGGUGGAAGUGCUCCUGGUGAGGGUGCGCACUGCCUCCAGGAGGAGCAUAGCGUGGACCUGAAACACUGCUUCAAUUACUGCAGUGGCUUUAUGUCGACUUAAUUUUGUAAUGUAGACGUGGCCGUACUCCACCUGCGGGAGAGGCAGUAGCUAUGUCUGCGGCAGAAGCUCUCUCGUCGAUAUAGCGCUGCCUACAUGGGAGUUUAGGUUGGUAUAACUGUGUUGCUCAGGGGUGUGGAUUUUCACACUUCCCCCCCACCCCCCGAAUGAUGUUGUUAUGCCACAGUAAGUGUGUAGUGUGGACCUAGCCUAAGAAUUAAGCACUAAAGGCUGAAGCUGAAUCUUCUCCCUUUGCUCUUCUUUUAUUCCUGUCUUCGUGUGUAUUUUGUUUUGUCUUCAGGAAAACAGGAUCAGACUUUAACAAGAACAUUCUGAACCACCUCAACUACCUUUUUCUCUUCCCCCUAAAGGACAAUGUAAACCACCUUUAAUGCCAUUUAAACAACUGUCAAACAUGGGUUUCUC